UACGGAGGAUGCAAGCGUUAUCCGGAAUUAUUGGGCGUAAAGCGUCCGCAGGGGGCUAGACAAGUCUGCUGUCAAAGACUGGAGCUCAACUCCGGGCAGGCGGUGGAAACUGUCGAGCUAGAGUACGGUAGGGGUAGAGGGAAUUCCCAGUGUAGCGGUGAAAUGCGUAGAGAUUGGGAAGAACACCAGUGGCGAAGGCGCUCUACUGGGCCGUAACUGACGCUCAGGGACGAACGCUAGGGGAGCGAAAGGG
rnacentral:rRNA from 1 species